UCUGAUUUCAGAGGAGGCAGCAGCUUGGUGUGCAGCUGUCUGGGUGCAGCAGAGCCUCUCCCGCAGCUCCAUUUGUCAGCACGGGUAUGGCUGGAGCUCUGCUGCUGUGUCCCCUGUGGUGGGGCAGCCCCCAGGAAUCCCCUGUGAUGGGGUGGCCCCCAAGGACCCUUGGCUGGUACAGAGAUUAAUUUACUUUCAAGCAUGCGUGCAUGAGGACCACCACAACUGUGACAGUCUAAAGAACUACUUGCAUUCAAUCACCGUUUUCCAGCUCUGGUCUGGGCCGUGGAGCAGUGAAGGGGUCGGGGGGCUCUCCCUGGUGCAGCAGGGGGGAGCUGCCCUGCAGCGCGGUGCUGGUGGUGGAUCUGCUGCGGCACCCGGCCGAGCUGGGAUGAGGGAUGAGCUCGCAACGAGCACCGCAAAGGGACUAAUUAAGACUACUGCAGUGACAUUAUUCAGCGAGAAGACUGCUCAGGCUGCAGCCCAGCAGAACACUUACAAGUGAAUUUGAGGUUCAGCUUCUGAGUGGUUCCAAUUAACAAGAAGCACUUAAGGUUAGCAGAUAUGAAGAAGCUUCUCAGAUCAGCGUCUCUGUGAACUUCUCUGGGCCCGUCCACAAAAGCACCAUCCUCCUGCAGGGAACACGAGGAGCACCGAUAGCGGUGUGAAGGCCCUGAAGAAGCAUCGAAGCCCCAGACAGGGUGCUCCUCAGUGUCCCUGCAGUGUGCUCCUCUCCAUACAUAAAGAAACCCCCGGGGCCUGGAUGUUUGGAGCUGCUUGUGAGCGGAGUGGCAGCAGCCCUUGUGUGGAGGGAAGCUGUCCUCCCCUCCGCCCCUCGGCUUCAGGUACCUUACUGGGGUUUAUGGGAAGCAUUUAUUUGAUUUUGUUUUAAUGCACAAAUGCACAAAAGGAAAAACAUUUUGUUAUUUUACUACUUGAAAGAUUAGGACUGGUCUUUAAGAAGUCAGUGGUUGCUUUAUUAUCUGGUUCUGAUUUAUCCAACUGGUUUUCCAAGAGCAGGGUUCACGUGGAUAACUAGCAGCCUUGGGGUUGUAGCCGCCUUUCCCCCUAAACAGAAGUCACACAGACUUUCCUUCCCAGCGAAGUUGGGUGUUGAAGCAUGAAACGUUUGGAAAAAAAAAUCUCUACCUUAAUACCCUGCGAUGCGUUCAUAUGGGGUGGUGUGUCCCUAAGCUUGUCUGAAGCAACAACAAGGUCAAAAAUUAACAUGCUGAAACUUCCAGUAUUGGAGCAACAAAGGCAGCAGAUCUGUGUAAAAGGAGAAAUGAGCUAAUUCCAUGCUGCAAGGACUGGAAAUGCUGCAUGUUUCUUGUAAGAACAAAUACUGAAAAUGCUUAACAUUACCAGGCUUCCACGUGUUAUACAAUUUCUCAGUAGUAGCAGAGAAUUUUGAGUAACAAUACACAAUGAGCAAUCUUACAGAGAACUGUGUCUGAUGCUUAAAAAUUAAAGAAAAAAAGAAUUUGUAGAGCAAGGAGCAAUAGGGGACAAAAGUCCUUUUCUCACUUAAAACAAUUUUUCUAGAAUCACUGAAAGUGACUUAAACUACAGGUUUCUGCAGUUCAGAAAAAGCUGCACAGAAAAGGCACUGCUAGCCAUGCAGAUAGAAAAAAAAUAAAAAAUAAAUGAGAAAAACAACCAGCCAACCAAUGCCCAAGGUACGGAUUUCUUGUCAGACAUGGCUAUCCAACACAACCUUCCAAGGAAAAAAAGGUUUUCUUCUACCUGGCUUUAACUAUAUAUAUAUGUUUUUCUCUCUCUCAACAUGCAAAGUUCAAGGAAAAAGCUGUCUCCUACAGCUGUCCCUGUCAGCAUUGUGCAAUUUCAGACUGACUUGGCUGAAGGUGUGUGUUUGACAGAAAGGCGCAGUUGUAAUUUUUCAGACCUAGCUAGGGAUGCCAAAUAAAUCUAUAUCUUCUUGACAAUUACAUCUUUACAACAGCUUUGGAAAAAACAGCUAAAAAGUGAACUUAUUGACAAGCUUUCUUAUUAGAGGAAGGUCCUUUGGCAAGCCCUGUGAAAGCAACAUUUCAUGAUGGAUCUCGCAGAAGCAGCAGGUGUGGGAGGCCAGUUAGAAAUAGCUUUUUACUGACAAACUUUUAUUUUAGAGGAAAUUUUUCUAACAAAGCCUUAGCUUGAGUCAUUUUACAGUGGAUCUGUAAAAACACAUAUAUGAAGUAUAAGUAAUUUUUGCUCGAGUCAAACCACAAAGGAAAUUGGUUUCAAUGCUUGUGCUGAUGGCAUCUGUUAACAAAGGGGCCUAUUUGCAGGAGCUGGCUGAUGUGAACACAUACUGUGCAUUUCUUCAUUUCUGAGAGCAGCAAGGAAUGGCAGGGUAUGGAAAACCGAUGGCAGCAAAUUGUAAUGUCAGUGCCUUCGUCAGAAUGCUGCCCCUUUCCCUGGGUGUGAAUGAGGGGCUGCAUGGGGCUUGUCUGAAACUGCAACGGCUCCUUGGAAAUGACUGACUGCUGCAAGGGAAGGAUGGCUGGGAGAGAGAACAGCACUUACUGAUAACUCCUAGGAGUAACACUACAAGCCAAACGGGAAGCAUUUCUAAAGUCAAAUAUGAGAUUAAUUAACGUUAUGUGUGAUCUGGUUACACAGGAGAGCUCGAGCCUCCGAUUGUACUGCUUGUUCCACACUCAUAACUCCCCCACAGCUGAGCUGUCAGAGAGGACGAGUGUAGCUUAAUUUGGUUUGCUAUUUAGGACGUCUAUAUAUAAACUUAAAACAGGAAUAUAGGAUGUGACCCUGGGGGGAACCCUUAUCCACUCCUCCUCUAUUUGGCCUACUUCUGGUAAUUAUUUUUUUUCAAGUAGGUGCUUAUUCAUGAAGCUCAGCGCUCAUCUUAUAAUGAGUGUCUGUAAAUUCUGCCAAAAUGCAUUUUCUGGUGUUUUGUUGCAGGGAUCUUUAAAGCUGAGCAGACAGCUCUUACCUGCCAGCAGCGUAAAAAAGCGGUUCCUGUAGCAAGUGCUUUGCAACCUGCUGCAGCGUGGUCAGGACCCUGCUAGGGAUGGAGCCCUCCUGCUGUCCUCCUGGGCAAUGUCCCGCACGCCUGCACGGUGCCUGUGGUUGCUGUCAGCCCCAGUGGUGUUCCUGCACAGUCGUAGCAACUUAGCAGGACUGAGCUGGCCAAACAAGGAGGGAGUUCACCUGCCCAGAGGAGCUCGCAGAAAUCACAGCCUCUAAGUUCUGCAGAAAACAAAACAAGAAAGAGUGAAAUCAAUUCAGUGCUGGGAGAGAAGAAGCUGGCAGGACUCAAUAGUGAGCACCACCCAGUAGCUGGCCUGCUGGGUGCAAUAAUAUUGAAGCAAAAAUCAAAGCGACUCUUGCAGAAGCUGCGAGCAAUAGAUGAGCUGUCUAAAUGGUGCAGCGCUGCGAGGACUCAGAAUGCGAGGCAGAGGCAAACACGGGGAGGGAGGCCUAUUUGUUUGAGCAGGGGGCAAUUAAAUCUCCUGGUGGAAUGUGAACAUCCAGCUUGGGAUGGAAAUGCAACCAAACACACAGUGAGGUUGAUCAGAGAUUAAAAGAAAGCAUGAGAAUUCGGCCUUGCAAACGUUGCGCUGGCCCCAUUAGCUGCCGGGGUGCAGACCCCUUGUUUUGUGGACCCCUCCUCUCUGCAGACCCCUCGUCUCUGCUGCUGGUGGGUGUGUGUGGCUCAGCCUUCACAGCACCGAGCACCCGAGGGGUGCCAGCUGGAGGGGGCCCCUCCAAACCAGCCUAAAGCAGGUCGUGCUGCUGGGCGGGGAUGCCCCAUUUUGGAAAAAAGAGGAAAAUAUGGAGCUGAUUAUAUCCAUUUGCCUCACAGCAUUGCUGUGUAUUGAAAUCCCAUACCUAAACAGGAAAAUCAUA